rnacentral:lncRNA from 1 species
CUCCAUUCCAGAGCAGGGGCUGAGCCGAUUAAUUAGCGCUUUUGUCUGCGGCCGAGUUCAACAUGUAGGGAACGAUUUACAUCAAGGGGACGUUCCCUUUGCUGUCGGAGCUCCUCGCAGCCUGCCCGGGGAGCGCUGAGCCGCAGGAAGGAGAACGAAGGAGGGGGAGAAAGGGACGGGAAUGAAAGGGAAGCGUUCGGCACGUCUCACGGCCCGCGUUGAGGAGGAAGGGAAGAUGCUGCAUGCUCGAAGCACCGCAUUGCAGAGGAGAAGGUCUGCAGAGCUGCCAUGCCUCCGUGGUGCUGAAGGGGAAGCAGGGACAGCCACUGUCCUUUCCGGAGCUGCGCCCCGUGGCUGAGGACAUCGUGAGGAUCACCUGGAUGUCUGAAAGGCACGGCACACACAUUGCCGAGGCCAAGCCUAGGGUGAAGGAGUUUGCAGUGGGUUUCCUGCCUGAAUUCCAAGACCGGCUGCGAAUCCAUCCCCAGGUACUGUCGCUGGAGAUCACAGAGCUGCGCAGCACAGAUAUAGGCCGGUACUCUGCAGUGGUGGACACCGCCUCCAAGCCCAGCAGCCCCAGUACAUUUUCCUACCUUGUGGUUCUCGAUCACCCCCCUGGGACAACUGACAGCGACACAGGAGGACACAGCAGGAGCACAUCUGGACCAACAAUGAGCUCUGAGCCCGGUGCUGGGGAGGGG